GUUACGUUAAUUAAGACAUGUUAAUUGAAACAAAAAUUUAUUAAAAUUAAAAGAGGGGCUAGGGUUAAGAAAUAGUGACCCUUGAAGUUUUCUGAACGAGUCUUCCUCCUUCUCGUGAACAGCGGCGCGGUGGAAAGCUCCACCUUCUCCGAUGAAGAUCGAAUAUCCGGCCACCGUCGCCCUAAACCAAACCUCUCACUCUCUCCGCCUCGAUUCUGAACCUACCUCUCUCGAUCAAGCUCCCUCCGAUUUCCAAUUUUUCGUCUCCGUUCUCUCGCACUUGCUUCUCUCCGGUCUUCGCAAUACCUCUCUCAUCUUCUCCGAUUCAUCUCUGCUUUUAUUUCCGAAUUCAAGACGAUGCUGAGAUUGAUGAUGAGUGAAGAUUAUGCGAUGGUAAUUGUUGUUGUUCUGCGAUGUGAUGAUGAAGCUCUGAAGAUUCAAUGAAGAUGAACAUGGAGCAAUCUCUCAGAAUCUCGAUUCUUAUCCCUUUCUUCUGUAACGUGAAGACUUCAUGAAGAUGCACUGAAGGUUACGAUAUGAUUGAAACCUUUUCUUCUUCAAGUUCUUGUUGAUGGAGUUGAUGAUUGUUGAUGUUGCGAUGGAUUGAAUCAGUGUUGAACCUGAUUCAAAUGGAGAGACUCGGAAGGAGAGCACGGGGAGAUGAUGGUGACCUGAGAUUGAAGAUGGAGAAAUGAAUGGAGGUUCACAGGGUGACGAAGAAAAACUGGCGGUUGGUUGAAGAUGGAGAGAAGAAUGUGAAGAUGAAGAUGAAGAUUGUGAUGUGGUGGAAAUGAUCGUGUGAAGAAUGAGAGAAUGGAGGAAGGUGAUUGAAGCUGAGUGAAGGUUAUGAAAAAUGAUGAAGAAUGGCUGAGAUUGAAGGUGGAAGAGAAUGAAGAUUAUGGAAGAUUGAGAGAAGAAUGAAGAGUGGAAGGUGGAUGAAUGGUGAGGAAUGGGCGUGAACCCCCAUUGAUCAAUGGUGAUGAUUCUGUUAUAUAGUUGAAGAUAGAGAGCUCAGUUACAACUUGAAGCCUUCUCAACCGUGGGAUCGAAAGUCGGUUAUGUUCAAUGGAUGGAGGAGAUUGAGUCUUCUUGAAAGAGUUGUUGAAUUGGCAAGGCGGGAUAUGUGGAGACUUGAUGAUCAUGAAGGUAGGACGACGGAGUUAUGAUGACGGCAGCUUGAAAACCAUGACAGUGGACUUUAGGACAUUCUAAUUUAUACAUUUUUGUGUGACUUUUCUCAUGUAAUGAUCUCUAGGCUUGAAUUUGGAAAUUAUGUAGACUUUUGUAAUGGAUAGCUUGGAUUUUUUAGGGAAAGAACAUGAUUUGAUUUUUGUAAUGAAAUUGGGAAUUUAUGAGGAAUGGAUGUUUGAAAUA